rnacentral:rRNA from 1 species
GAUGAACGCUGGCGGCGUGCCUAAUACAUGCAAGUCGAGCGAACAGACGAGGAGCUUGCUCCUCUGACGUUAGCGGCGGACGGGUGAGUAACACGUGGAUAACCUACCUAUAAGACUGGGAUAACUUCGGGAAACCGGAGCUAAUACCGGAUAAUAUAUUGAACCGCAUGGUUCAAUAGUGAAAGACGGUUUUGCUGUCACUUAUAGAUGGAUCCGCGCCGCAUUAGCUAGUUGGUAAGGUAACGGCUUACCAAGGCAACGAUGCGUAGCCGACCUGAGAGGGUGAUCGGCCACACUGGAACUGGGACACGGUCCAGACUCCUACGGGAGGCAGCAGUAGGGAAUCUUCCGCAAUGGGCGAAAGCCUGACGGAGCAACGCCGCGUGAGUGAUGAAGGUCUUCGGAUCGUAAAACUCUGUUAUUAGGGAAGAACAAAUGUGUAAGUAACUAUGCACGUCUUGACGGUACCUAAUCAGAAAGCCACGGCUACCUACGU